rnacentral:sRNA from 1 species
CCCGUAUAGUGCCAUCGACCGCACCACC